rnacentral:rRNA from 1 species
GAUGAACGCUGGCGGCGUGCCUAAUACAUGCAAGUAGAACGCUGAAGGAAGGAGCUUGCUCUUUCCGGAUGAGUUGCGAACGGGUGAGUAACGCGUAGGUAACCUGCCUGGUAGCGGGGGAUAACUAUUGGAAACGAUAGCUAAUACCGCAUAACAGUAGAUUUUGCAUGAUAUCUACUUAAAAGGUGCAAUUGCACCACUACCAGAUGGACCUGCGUUGUAUUAGCUAGUUGGUGAGGUAACGGCUCACCAAGGCGACGAUACAUAGCCGACCUGAGAGGGUGAUCGGCCACACUGGGACUGAGACACGGCCCAGACUCCUACGGGAGGCAGCAGUAGGGAAUCUUCGGCAAUGGACGGAAGUCUGACCGAGCAACGCCGCGUGAGUGAAGAAGGUUUUCGGAUCGUAAAGCUCUGUUGUAAGAGAAGAACGAGUGUGAGAGUGGAAAGUUCGCACUGUGACGGUAUCUUACCAGAAAGGGACGGCUAACUACGUG